rnacentral:lncRNA from 1 species
AUGAAGCCGGCGACGACGGCGACAGGAGGGACGAGGUCAGGUGAGCCCGCCCGCUCCACGCUUCCAUCUAGCCUAGGCGUGUGCUUGAUUGAAUUGUUUGCGGCCAUGGACGAGGUUCCUAGAGAAGGAUCACGAAUUUCUGUCGCAACAACCAUGGAUUUUGGGUCUAGCCACACAAUUCGUUCUGUCACGGUGCACUUUCUUUUUCUUACUCUCUACGUUUUUUAUUUAUUACGAUUUAGUUCAAAAUAAACUAAAGAAUAAUAAAUAUUCGAAAACAUGUAGUAUUAUAAAACACACAAGACUGGUCCGGCGAGCACCCGACAUUCAAGACUCAACAAUCGAAUUUUAAGUUCCAAUGGUCGAGAUGAUGUGGCGCUGAUGUGUUAGGGCAUUAUGGUGCACCAGACUCGUUCGAUGCCACCUCACAUUCUCUUUAGAACGAUCAUUAAAACGGUAGUCUAACAACAAUUCGGUGUUGCACCGGACCAAACAUUAUUUGUGGUCCGGUGGACCCAAAAUGAAUUUAAUUUUUUGGAGAAAAAAGGUCCCAAAGGCUAUUUAGGUGGUCAGGGGCUAUAAAUACACCCUCAACCAGCCCAUUCAAUACAAAAGACUUGUGCAAUAACUGCAAUACACUAUCCUCCCAAGUGACACAAAAAGUGUGAAUUGAGCAUAGAGAUAGCAAUUCGCAUGUGUUUUGUGAUAGAGCCUUGAGUGAGAGUUGAAUAGAAGAGUGUGUAUUAUGCUCUUGAGUCUUGGUGCAAGGCACCUGUAAGGAAAAUAGAUCUUAGCCCAUUUGACUAAUUGAUUUUAGUGUUUGAUGAUCAAUAUAACCUAUAGACUAAUGUGUUUGCUAGUGUUUGUAUUUAUAGUUCACGGGAUGUGUUGGGGGCCUUCGGCUUCCGAAGGUCCUCAAAAACAUGAUUUAACAAUGUUUCUGGAGUAUGAUGCAUGAACAGGUACCUUCGGGCUUAGGUUAUAACCACAAUAUGAAGAAGCACAAAGAAUACGAAGGAUGGCGCAGAGCCGAAGCUAUGCGUAGAGGAGCUUCAGCGUGAUAACAGAAAAGGAAACCGACUUAAAGGGGAAAAGGCUAUUUAGACCCCGAUGGAUUACUAUAGAGUUAUUAGCAAAUGUAAAGGGCAUGGAUGUAAUUUUACAUGGGCUGCGUCCCGUGCCUAUAAAUAGAUGAACAGUGCUCCCAUACUGUUCACGCUGACUUGGCAUUCGC